rnacentral:lncRNA from 1 species
CGCUAGAGGAUCAGACCGACUGAGCUGGCAGCUUGACGAAUCAGAGCAAAGGAUCUAGACUGUUCUUAUCUUUGUAUAAAUAAGAGAAGAGAUACAUUGUAACCUUUAAGUUAUGAAAGCAUAAUUUCAGUGAAAUACUAAAGCUUACAAAGUUUCUGUCUUUACCUUUAGGGCCCACCACAAACUAGCACUACCUUCCUCACAAAAUCAUUAUUCUCAUAUCUUGUUACAACCAUAUCUGUUAAAGCAAAUACCUUGAAGCCAUAGUUCGUGCGUCAAU